ensembl:lncRNA
CCCUCCUUGUGCAAGGUGUCAAUGGUCGUCUUUUGGACAACUGUCAAGUCAGCAGUCUUCCCCAUGAUUGUGCAGCCUACAGAACUAGACUGAGAGACCAUUUAAAGGCUUUUCAGGUGUUUUGAGUUAAUUAGCUGAUUAGAGUGUGGCACCAGGUGUCUUCAAUAUUGAACCUUUUCAUAAUAUUCUAAUUUUCUGAGAUACUGAAUUUGGGAUUUUCCUUAGUUGUCAGUUAUAAACAUCAAAAUUAAAAGAAAUAAACAUUUGAAAUAUAUCAGUCUGUAUGUAAUGAAUGAAUAUAAUAUACAAGUUUCACUUUUUGAAUGGAAUUAGUGAAAUAAAUCAACUUUUUGAUGAUAUUCUAAUUAUAUGACCAGCACCUGUAUACCGGUACUAGCAAUAACCACAAUAUUUAAAAUUAACAUUUCUCUUAUGAUAACACCACAUGUAAAUACUCCAUCGAGAUUACCUGGUUGAGCUCCCAGGUGGCAGUAUUGUGCCUUAACUUUGACACCUGUCACACAAGAAGAAGACGCAGCGCUCGCAGCUACUCCGAGGAGAGCCAUGUGGCAGACAAGAGCUGAAUGGGUCGGGAAACUCACCUCCAUUCCCUGCCAGAGAUGAGUUCUUCUAACCACUCUACAUGCUCUAGUUUCCAGCCCCCAUCAAUUCCUUGGUCUUACAGAGAGGGAGAAAGAAACAGAUUGAAAGCGUCAGAGAAAGAAAGACCAUUCAAUAUGGCUCUAUAGGUAUAUUUCCUCUGUUUUCCUGGCUCAGUCUUCCAUGGAGCCUUUCUCCCUGAUGGAUCACUGCUGAAAAAGGAUGGAUGGCAGCUUAUCCCUUGCCUGGUGCCUGGCAUUUUACCCUUUCUUUUCCAUUCAUCCAUCUUCCACACUGGCAAUAUGUUAUGGUGCAGUAGCCACUGUGUACUCUACAAAUACAUGUAUGUGGAAACAGAAAAAGCCAAAAGUAUAAUUCAUUUGUAUGUUUUCCGGUAGCCCUUGCUCGCAUUAUGUAAAUUUUGUCAUCAUCACAAUCUAUGGAAAAUUAUAUGUUUAGCACAAAUUUUUAAGCCUUGUUCACAUUUGCAAAAGGUAAAAAGAUGUUUGGUCGAACUAAAGACGACAGACAAACUGAACAAUCCUGUCCAAACAGGCAGUACAUCUAUAGCGAUAUGGGCAAAGAAGCUCAUUUAUUCAGAUGACAUAAUUUCUUGGUAAAAAUGUAUCUUGACACAGCACUUCUGUUGAUUAUUCAAAUAUUUUUGCCCAUUUACAUGCACUCAUAAUUUAAAACAUGUCUAUAUAUCUCCUGUAGUAAAAGGUGUGCUCCAUUUGAAAGUAAUUGCCCUGCAAAGUGCAUAUUCUGCUAUCUUAAGUGUGAUUCCAAUCUGAAGGGAGCAUACAGUUCGAAGGGCACUGUAAAUGGCAUAGGGAAUAAGGGAAUAUUGAUGCAUCACUUGACAGGAAGUGGAGAGGGCAAUUUACUUUUAUGCAUUUUACCCACUGUACACCACUCCGGUACUUGAAGAAGUUUGAAUAAAAUAAAUGCAGCCAAGGUUACUGCAUUUUAAUUGAGUUUAUUGAGUUUAUUGAUUUUAUCGACACAUUCCUAGUUGCUUGGCUGUUUGUGGGUAUUAAGUGUGAGAGACACAUCAGUUACAAUGCAACUAUUGCGAUUAUGGUUAAAUAAAUUAAAAUCUAUUAUAAUCUAAUCAUGAUUAUUUAUAUAUUAAACAAAAUUUAUCAGCAAUUUAACCUUAAAGUUAUUAUUAACCUUAAACAUAUCAUUAACUCUCAUUAUAG